GGGUCUGACCGGUCCGGUGGUA
rnacentral:siRNA from 1 species